GUCUGGCAGCCCACUUCCGGUGUCAGGCAGAGAGCUCUCCGGUUUAUUUUAGUUCCUUUAUCUUCCUGGUGAGAUUAGGAUCCACCCAGUCAGAAAACUAGUGUUUCUCUUUGUUAACAUCGGCGGAAACAGCAGGCCUUGGGCCUGACAUUUCUCCAAAUAGGUCAACAUCAGGGAAGGCAAACAGUGUGGGCUGGUCUGGCAGCUGGUCCAGAGCCACAGCACCAGGUUGUGGGAAGCCAGCAGGGAGGGCCUCUCACCAGGCUUCUGGGGACAGAACACUGAUGGGGCCAAUGUAAGGUGGGCCAGUGUAAGGCAGCGAAUAGCAAAGCACUUCCGGAGGCAGCAAGGGGCUCUGGGAAGCUACAACAGGGAAGUAAGGGGGAGCUUGCUAAAACACUGAACCCAGCCGGGACCUACCUUUCUUACAUCCUGCUCAUUUAAUCUUCCAUUGCCGUACGGGUUGGAAAGAGGACUCGCACUGCUCCCACUUUACCCAAAGAUCACCUUGCUUUUGCUAUCUGAAUUCUGAACUAUCCUGUGGAGUAAAGCAUUUAUUUGUAAAUGGCAGUGUCCCCGACAUUCCUGACAAAGACUAGGAGGAAGCUGCCAGCUUCCCCUAACCCGUACCUAGAAUUAAGGGGCACGUGGCUCAUACUCAAGGCCCUGGAUUCCAUCCCCACUCCAGCAAAACAAACAAAAAUCCACACCAGAGAGAACCCAGGGCCUCCCGGCAGAGCCAGCUCCUUAACAGAGUGCUAAGAGCCAACAAACUGGAGCCAAUUGUAACUGCUGGGAAGUUGAAGGCAUAGGCAGACUGAAGUCAUCCUCCUGCUCCCUAAAGAGGCCAGAUAGAAAUGGGGAGGCCCAAGAGGAUGCCACACGAAUGAAGGGUCUCCUGGCACUCCAAGUCAUCCAGACGUGGGAUUUCCCUUUCUCUGAAUUCAGGAGAUCAGGUUAGCCAGCAUCUAGACCCUGGGACUCUAAGCACUAUCACAAGUGAUAUACGCCCGACCCCUUAACGCAGCGCUUGAGAAAUGCCUCCCUCUUCCUUUCUAGACAUAUUUAGACUUGAUUUCUCAACUUCACUUCCUGUGUUGCAAUUUCCCCAAGCAUGUGACUUAUGUUUAUCAACUGUCAGCCGGCCAAGAGGCGGAGACAGUGCAGAGCGGCCUCCCACGUCGGCUUCCUAGUCCACAAAAGCCAGACCCACCUGUCCCCUGACCCUGGCCAGGUGACUCCUACCAGUACAACGCUAGGACUCCUCUUCUUGUUCUGGGUGACAAUGGGUCAAAGACUUUCCUUUUCCAGAAGAGUCGGGGCAUGGGACCCAGGCUGGGCCAACACAGGGGCCAGUAUCAGACUAAGUGGAACUCUCAGGAAUGUCCCUACUGCCUGAGGAGUCAGUAUUCUGGUUCCCUUCGGAACAAGAUGUAGAACUCUCAGCUCGUCCUGCACCGCGCCUGCCUGGAUGCUGCCAUGUUCCCGCCUUGAUGAUAAUGGACUGAACCUCUGAACCUGUAAGCCAGCCCCAAUUAAAUGUUGUCCUUUAGAAGAGUUGCCUUGGUCAUAGUAUAUGUUCAUAGCAGUAAAAUCUUAGACAGUACUAAAGCGGACCUGGCCUCCAGGUUUUCCCAGCAUUCCCUGGUCCCUAUCUAGAGCUGGGCUCCCCCAACCCCCCAGCAGCUCCUCCCUAUAUAAUGCAUGCAUUUUGUUUUCUCCCUCUCCCUCCUCUCCCUGUUUCCCUUCCACUCUCUUCCUUUUUGUCUUCCUGCUUGCACACACCAGAGGCCGCCUCUCUUUCUCUUCCCCCUCCACUCUGACUCUCUCCCUAUAGCGACUUCCCUGGCCUUGGGGCCAGUGAAUGCCCUUGAGAGCAGCUUCCCAAUAAACCUGCCUUUAUGUGCUU